rnacentral:rRNA from 1 species
UACGUAGGAGGCGAGCGUUGUCCGGAAUUACUGGGCGUAAAGCGCGUGUAGGCGGGCGCUCUUGUCGGGGAUGAAAGCCCUCUGCUCAACGGGGGGAGUGUCGCGAAACGGAGCGCCUCAUUGGAGUGUGGUGAGGGGGAGGGCGGAACGGCCGGAUGGAGCGGUGGAAAUGACGUCAGAGAUCGGUCAGAACACCAGCGGCG